UACGUAGGCAGCAAGCGUUGUUCGGAAUUACUGGGCGUAAAGAGUGUGUAGGCGGUGCUCUAAGUUCGGUGUGAAAUCUCCCGGCUCAACUGGGAGGGUGCGCCGGAAACUGGGGUGCUGGAGCGCGGGAGAGGAAAGCGGAAUUCCUGGUGUAGCGGUGAAAUGCGUAGAUAUCAGGAGGAACACCAGUGGCGAAGGCGGCUAUCUGGACGGUUUCUGACGCUAAGACGCGAAAGCGUGGGGAGCAAACAGG
rnacentral:rRNA from 1 species